rnacentral:rRNA from 1 species
CCUACGGGAGGCAGCAGUGGGGGAUAUUGCACAAUGGGGGGAACCCUGAUGCAGCGACGCCGCGUGUGGGAAGACGGUCCUCUGGAUUGUAAACCACUGUCCCCAGGGACGAAAAUGACGGUACCUGGGGAGGAAGCUCCGGCUAACUACGUGCCAGCAGCCGCGGUAAUACGUAGGGAGCGAGCGUUGUCCGGAUUUACUGGGUGUAAAGGGAGCGUAGGCGGGGAUGCAAGUUGGGUGUAAAAACUACCGGCUCAACUGGUAGUCGCACUCAAAACUGCAGCUCUUGAGUGAAGUAGAGGCAGGCGGAAUGCGUGGUGUAGCGGUGAAAUGCGUAGAUAUUAGGAGGAACACCAGUGGCGAAGGCGGCCUGCUGGGCUUUUACUGACGCUGAGGCUCGAAAGUGUGGGGAGCAAACAGGAUUAGAUACCCCGGUAGUC